rnacentral:rRNA from 1 species
AUUGAACGCUGGCGGCGGGCCUAACACAUGCAAGUCGAACGGCAGCACAGAAGAGCUUGCUCUUUGGGUGGCGAGUGGCGGACGGGUGAGUAAUGUAUGGGAAACUGCCCGAUGGAGGGGGAUAACUACUGGAAACGGUAGCUAAUACCGCAUAACGUCGCGAGACCAAAGUGGGGGACCUUCGGGCCUCACACCAUCGGAUGUGCCCAGAUGGGAUUAGCUAGUAGGUGGGGUAAUGGCUCACCUAGGCGACGAUCCCUAGCUGGUCUGAGAGGAUGACCAGCCACACUGGAACUGGGACACGGUCCAGACUCCUACGGGAGGCAGCAGUGGGGAAGAUUGCACAAUGGGCGCAAGCCUGAUGCAGCCAUGCCGCGUGUAUGAAGAAGGCCUUCGGGUUGUAAAGUACUUUCAGCGGGGAGGAAGGCGGUGAGGUUAAUAACCUCGCCGAUUGACGUUACCCGCAGAAGAAGCACCGGCUAACUCCGUGCCAGCCGCCGCCGUAA